rnacentral:lncRNA from 12 species
CUGCAGCCACAAAAAUGGUUAAUUAAUGACUUGAAAAAAGGAUGUGGUCCUCUUGGGAUGCUGCUAAGUGCUGGCAAAAAGAUUGAACCCCUGACUCUGUAUGUGAGGGGAGGACCUGACAGAGUUUGCUGUUUUUGCACUCUUCCUGAUGGGGAAAUGCAUAUUGAAUGACGAAGGUUCUCCGAUAGACCUGACCAAGUGAAAUAAAUGAAUUUUUUCAAGCUGCA